AACGAACGCUGGCGGCAGGCUUAACACAUGCAAGUCGAACGCCCCGCAAGGGGAGUGGCAGACGGGUGAGUAACGCGUGGGAACCUACCCAGUUCUACGGAAUAACCCAGGGAAACUUGGACUAAUACCGUAUACGCCCUACGGGGGAAAGAUUUAUCGGAAUUGGAUGAGCCCGCGUUGGAUUAGCUAGUUGGUGGGGUAAUGGCCUACCAAGGCGACGAUCCAUAGCUGGUCUGAGAGGAUGAACAGCCACACUGGGACUGAGACACGGCCCAGACUCCUACGGGAGGCAGCAGUGGGGAAUAUUGGACAAUGGGCGCAAGCCUGAUCCAGCCAUGCCGCGUGAGUGAUGAAGGCCUAGGGUUGUAAAGCUCUUUCAGUGGGGACGAUAAUGACGGUACCCACAGAAGAAGCCCCGGCUAACUUCGUGCCAGCAGCCGCCGUAAAAC
rnacentral:rRNA from 1 species